rnacentral:rRNA from 1 species
UACGAAGGGGGCUAGCGUUGUUCGGAAUUACUGGGCGUAAAGGGCGCGUAGGCGGUACUUCAAGUCAGGCGUGAAAGCCCCGGGCUCAACCUGGGAACCGCGCUUGAGACUGGAGAACUAGAGUUCGGGAGAGGAUGGUGGAAUUCCCAGUGUAGAGGUGAAAUUCGUAGAUAUUGGGAAGAACACCGAUGGCGAAGGCAGCCAUCUGGACCGACACUGACGCUGAUGCGCGAAAGCGUGGGGAGCAAACAGG